ACCUAUGAUGCUUUGCCGAAGGUGUGAGAUGCAGGUGCUUCCAAGUCUCUGUUAAAUCAGGGAGAACCUACUUGGGGACCUGCAUUAUAAUGAGAUUAAUGGGCUGUUACUGAGGU
rnacentral:snoRNA from 1 species